UUAUGAUAGGUACAGAAUUCUGUCAACAUAACUUUAUUCUUUCCUUCGUUAUUCUCCUUAACCAGAGCUUUAUUAUUUUGGUGAACUUCUGAUUGCUGGUUUAGGGUUGUAUUCUUCUUCUUUUUUAGUGAAGAUGACCCCGCAUUUCCUCUCAUCGACAUUCUUUUAAGCUCUUGAGCAAUUAUGUGUGCUUCAUAGAAACUUGCGUCGUAUUCGGCUUUUGUUGACUUUGAUUGCUCCGAGCCUUGCUUCUUAUCAUCUUCCUUUAAAUCAGCUUGCAUAGUUAUGACUCGACAGGUCUUGACCCG
rnacentral:lncRNA from 1 species